GAAGACAGCCUGCACAUGAGUGUUCCAUCCAACCCUCCUUGACAGGUUGGAAGUCCAGCCAGGACUGCAAAUCACUUCCUGCACAAUAUGCCCCCCUUCUAUGAUGAUCACCCUGCCAGGAGACAUGACAGAGCUCACUACAAACAGCCACCACACAAUCAGUGAGCUCCUGCCUCAUGGGAAGCUAGUAAUGAGCCCCUUCCCCUCUGUAAAAUAUCCCCCAAUAUGUGCAGCAUGGUACAGUCCAUCCUGGGAGCAGCCUUUCUUUAUAUAAAGAUUGUUGUGUCCUUUCCCCUGCUGCUCUAACUCAGCAGCAGCAGUCACAUUACGACAAGUGUAACCCUUCUUUCAGACGGAUUGUUGGAUUUGAUCACUUAAAUUGUCAAAAGGGGUUUCCGGACUGUUAUACAGUUAUCUUUAUUAGGAUUCAAAAGACGGGUUUCUGGACUGUUAUACAGUUAUCUUUAUUAGGAUUCAAAAGACGACAGCUCUCACCAUGGCAACAUCCCCCCGCCCCCGCAUGACGGCCCUGGGACUCUGUGUCAUCCGUGACAUGUCAGGUGAUCGGAAGUGUGGAACCCGGAAGCCGAGCGGCGGCGUGGAGCGGACGGCUGGACGCGCGCUGGUCAAGAACCUCAGACCCCAACAUUACAGCCACUUGGUGAUCCUGAAGAAACAGUAGAUGUCAUGGAAACAUUGCAGAUAUUUCCAGCCAAACAACAAAGGCCGCAAACACCCAGGCCACCUAGCCCAGACUUACAAGAGCCACCAACAAAUAUGUCUGCUAAUGCUGCCUCUGUCUUCCUCCCCUCCAUCGCUGCAUUCCAUGAUCAGCAUGUGACACUAAUGGACACGCAAAUGAGACACUUACUACAAAUUACCAGGCAUUUGCAUAAGCAUGACAGCGCCUUUCCAUCAUUAAUGUCAGUUUUAUGCUCCUAAAUGAAUAUCUACUGUCUGGUCCAGAGCACUGAUUGAGUACUCAGAUCCACACACCAAGCAAACUCGAUAGAAGAAGAUGCUAUCACUGGGCAUGUGCAGCAGUUCUGCUCUGUCCCUUAAACUGCAUGAUGUGGCGGCAGCUCUAGUAAUCAUAUUAUAUACCAUUGCUAUUGUCAUAAUGUGAGCCAGAGAGGAGGGGGGUUUCCGAGCAACCGAAAACCCCCCUUGCGUUUGUCUAUGAAAUGUAGCCACGCUCAUCGCGGCUACAUCUGCCAUCUAUGGGCACUCCCAGAGUGACUAGUCACCCCCAUCUAUGUGAAUGGGGCGCAUGAGUGUCUAAGGUGCGUGCUUUAGACAUGCAUGCAGUUGCGGCGUACGAGUCACAAAUGCGCCUAGAUGUAGCCACCAUGAACUAGGCUACAGCUGUAGCAUAUGUUAGAGACACAAACAAUUGCAAAUAUUAGUUUUCAGGAAAAACGUUUUAAAGAAUGUUCCAAAAUCAAAUGAAUAUAAUGAGGGUCCGGAACUAAAACAUGUCAUUGGGGGCACAAAAUGUUAGCCAGCUCCAUGAGCCAACAAGUACCAGUACUAGUGAUGUGCACCGGAAAUUUUUCGGGUUUUGUGUUUUGGUUUUGGAUUCGGUUCCGCGGCCGUGUUUUGGAUUCGGACGCGUUUUGGCAAAACCUCCCUGAAAUUUUUUUGUCGGAUUCGGGUGUGUUUUGGAUUCGGGUGUUUUUUACAAAAAAACCUUUAAAAAUAGCUUAAAUCAUAGAAUUUGGGGGUCAUUUUGAUCCCAUAGUAUUAUUAACCUCAAUAACCAUAAUUUCCACUUAUUUUCAGUCUAUUCUGAACACCUCACAAUAUUAUUUUUAGUCCUAAAAUUUGCACCGAGGUCGCUGGAUGGCUAAGCUAAGCGACACAAGUGGCCGACACAAACACCUGGCCCAUCUAGGAGGGGCACUGCAGUGUCUGGCAGGAUGGCACUGCAAAAAAAUUGUCCCCAAACAGCACAUGAUGCAAAGAAAAAAAGAGGCGCACCAAGGUCGCUGUGUGACUAAGCUAAGCGACACAAGUGGCCGACACAAACACCUGGCCCAUCUAGGAGUGGCACUGCGGUGUCAGGCAGGAUGGCACUUCAAAAAAAUUGUCCCCAAACAGCACAUGAUGCAAAGAAAAAAAGAGGCGCACCAAGGUCGCUGUGUGACUAAGCUAAGCGACACAAGUGGCCGACACAAACACCUGGCCCAUCUAGGAGUGGCACUGCGGUGUCAGGCAGGAUGGCACUUCAAAAAAAUUGUCCCCAAACAGCACAUGAUGCAAAGAAAAAUGAAAGAAAAAAGAGGUGCAAGAUGGAAUUGUCCUUGGGCCCCCCCACCCACCCUUAUGUUGUAUAAACAGGACAUGCGCACUUUAACGAACCCAUCAUUUCAGCGACAGGGUCUGCCACACGACUGUGACUGAAAUAACUGGUUGGUUUGGGCCCCCACCAAAAAAGAAGCAAUCAAUCUCUCCUUGCACAAACUGGCUCUACAGAGGCAAGAUGUCCACCUCAUCAUCAUCCUCCGAUUCCUCACCCCUUUCACUGUGUACAUCCUCUUCCUCACAGAUUAUUAAUUUGUCCCCACUGGAAUCCACUAUCUCAGGUCCCUGUGUACUUUCUGGAGGCAAUUGCUGGUGAAUGUCUCCAUGGAGGAAUUGAUUAUAAUUCAUUUUGAUGAACAUCAUCUUCUCCACAUUUUCUGGAAGUAACCUCGUACGCCGAUUGCUGACAAGGUGAGCGGCUGCACUAAACACUCUUUCGGAGUACACACUGGAGGGAGGGCAACUUGGGUAGAAUAAAGCCAGUUUGUGCAAGGGCCUCCAAAUUGCCUCUUUUUCCUGCCAGUAUACGUACGGACUGUCUGACGUGCCUACUUGGAUGCGGUCACUCAUAUAAUCCUCCACCAUUCUUUCAAUGGUGACAGAAUCAUAUGCAGUGACAGUAGACGACAUGUCAGUAAUCAUUGGCAGGUCCUUCAGUCCGGACCAGAUGUCAGCACUCGCUCCAGACUGCCCUGCAUCACCGCCAGAGGGUGGCCUCGGAAUUCUUAGCCUUUUCCUCGCACCUCCAGUAGCGGGAGAAUGUGAAGGAGGAGCUGUUGACGGGUCACGUUCCGCCUGACUUGACAAUUUUCUCACCAGCAGGUCUUUGAACCUCUGCUGACUUGUGUCUGCCGGAAAGAGAGAUACAACGUAGGUUUUAAAUCUAGGAUCGAGCAUGGUAGCCAAAAUGUAGUGCUCUGAUUUCAACAGACUGAUCACCCGUGAAUCCUGGUUAAGCGAAUUAAGGGCUCCAUCCACAAGUCCCACAUGCCUAGCGGAAUCACUCUGUUUUAGCUCCUCCUUCAAUGUCUCCAGCUUCUUCUGCAAAAGCCUGAUGAGGGGAAUGACCUGACUCAGGCUGGCAGUGUCUGAACUGACUUCACGUGUGGCAAGUUCAAAGGGUUGCAGAACCUUGCAGAACGUUGAAAUCAUUCUCCACUGCGCUUGGGUCAGGUGCAUUCCCCCUCCUUUGCCUAUAUCGUGGGCAGAUGUAUAGGCUUGAAUGGCCUUUUGCUGCUCCUCAAUCCUCUGAAGCAUAUAGAGGGUUGAAUUCCACCUCGUUACCACCUCUUGCUUCAGAUGAUGGCAGGGCAGGUUCAGGAGUGUUUGCUGGUGCUCCAGUCUUCGGCACGC